rnacentral:rRNA from 1 species
AGUACGUUUAGAUCCGUGACGUCAGGACGAACGCUGCGGCGUGCUUAACACAUGCAAGUCGAACGAUGAAGCCUAGCUUGCUAGUGGAUUAGUGGCGAACGGGUGAGUAAUACGUGAGUAACCUACCUUUAACUCUGGGAUAAGCCUGGGAAACUGGGUCUAAUACCGGAUACGACCAAUCUCUGCAUGGGGUGUUGGUGGAAAGCGUUAUGUAGUGGUUAUAGAUGGGCUCACGGCCUAUCAGCUUGUUGGUGAGGUAACGGCUCACCAAGGCGACGACGGGUAGCCGGCCUGAGAGGGUGACCGGCCACACUGGGACUGAGACACGGCCCAGACUCCUACGGGAGGCAGCAGUGGGGAAUAUUGCACAAUGGGCGCAAGCCUGAUGCAGCGACGCCGCGUGAGGGAUGACGGCCUUCGGGUUGUAAACCUCUGUUAGCAGGGAAGAAGAGAGAUUGACGGUACCUGCAGAGAAAGCGCCGGCUAAUACGUG